CUUUGAGCAAGUUGGAUAGAUGGUGGCUAUCUGAGUAUAAGGAGGUGGUGCCUAUGGUGGCAUUACUGAAAUCUUUAGAAAGGAGACGCCUAAUGAUUACAAUUAGUACCAUGUUGCAGUUUGGUUUAUUCCUUAUUGCAUUGAUAGGUCUAGUAAUCAAGCUUAUUGAAUUAAGCAAUAAAAAAUAACCAUCGCUAACUUUGGCUGGUUUCGAUGGUUAAAUGGUUAUUAAUUUAAUCUUUAAUCUAAAAUAGCCACCGUCUUUUUAACGGGCUCACUAGGGUAACAUGUUUGCGCAUGUUGCCCUUUUUC
rnacentral:misc_RNA from 1 species